UACAGAGGGGGCAAGCGUUAUUCGGAAUUACUGGGCGUAAAGGGCUCGUAGGCGGCCAACUAAGUCAGACGUGAAAUCCCUCGGCUUAACCGGGGAACUGCGUCUGAUACUGGAUGGCUUGAGGUUGGGAGAGGGAUGCGGAAUUCCAGGUGUAGCGGUGGAAUGCGUAGAUAUCUGGAGGAACACCGGUGGCGAAGGCGGCAUCCUGGACCAAUUCUGACGCUGAGGAGCGAAAGCCAGGGGAGCAAACGGG
rnacentral:rRNA from 1 species